UCCCAGUGCAGGGAGACAAAUGCUAAGAUUAAUUUUUACCUGAUGGUGUUUGGUCAGCUGGUCAAAAUAUCAUUACCUAACAGCACUGAGGAUGUGUGUGUCCCCAGACCUGGCCUCCUCAGCAGAACCACACCUGAUCUCAACAUCACACUGACCAUCCACCAUCAGAUGCAUGAGGUGUUACUGCUCAGCUCUCCAAAAUGCACUGGCUUCUCCCCUAUCCUUUAGCCCCCUCAGACCAUGACAUGCACGGCAUUACUGUGAGCAAACAAUGCAGCCCCUGUGUUUGUAAAGGAAGGAAGGCUCCAAUGUGUCCAUGAAACCUGAGACAUCAUUCUUUCCAGUUCUUGUUCCAGUUGGUGCAACAGAAAACAUCAGCGUGCCCUCCUGUUUUCCGCAACCUCAAGGAGCUGCCAGCCAACAUGCUGAGCUGGUGAAAUUGAUGACUGAGUAGAUGAACAAAAGUGCACUUUGGGGACCUCCCCAUAGCCUGUCAUUCACUAAUGUUGUCCUCCCCUUGACUUCUCCGGGCUUCCUGGGGAGCCAGCUGUUCCCCACACGUAGGCCGGCAGCUAUGUGGUGUUUGUGAGUGCAGGCACAGCUGUGAGUGGUGAACCAGAAACAGGUGAAGAACUUGUCCUAGUGCCAGCAGGAGGUACUAUGGAUGACAUGUAAUCUGGAGGCUUUCUGAAGCAUCUAGGCACUUCUGCCUUAAGUGGCUUUGGGCCCCCAAAGCUACGCCCAGCAGACCAUUCAUAAUGCAUACUUAAAAAAAAACCCCAGAAACAGUGGGGAUAAAAUUCUAGCCCCACUGAGCCUCACUAUUUCAGAAAUGUCUUCCCAAGAAAAGGCAAAUAGAAACUUUCCUCUGUUACUGGUCCUUUUGUGCCAUCACUGUUUAAGACAACCUCACUGCAGAAGCCAAAUUUUCCUGUGCACACAGCUGUCCAUGCCCAAAAAGAGAGGUGGAAAUAAUCACUGUAAGAACACAUUAGUAUCUGACUGCUUCAGAAGAAGUGUUAGCUGAACAUAGUGCAUUUCUGCUCCUCAUAAUUUCAAGAGCUUUUUUAAAAUUUGCAUAUUUUCCAUGCCCCUGUGUGGUUCUGUAUUUUAGAAGGGGAGACAGAAGAAUUGAUUAGAUCAUAUAACUUGAUGACAUGACAAAGAAGAAGUUUGGGAUGUGGAACAUGGUAUCAGUGGGAGAAACAUGUCAGCUCACAUUUUUCUGAAGUACAAAAGUUUACAAUUUUAAAGUGAACUGCACAGGAAAGGUGCUUUUCCAAAGAGUCUAAAGCUUACACCCACAAAAUUACUGAGAUCUUCCUCUGUGUGUGUUGCAUAAAUAAUCUGGAGAGCAUAAUAUUUAAUGUAAGGAGUCGAGCUAUUUACAUAAGUUUGAGUUGCAUUGGAGCAUGUACUGCACUGGUAGAAAUACUGCCUGUGUUCGCUGAAGCAAUAGAGGGAUUUUCAGCCAAUGCCUCUGCUGAGUGUGGAGGAAUUAGGCUUUUGCUUCUCCCAGUGCCUACAAAGUACUAAGUGUCUGCAUCUCUUAUAAAGUCACCAAUGUCUCCAAUUCUAAGAAAGCCCUUAAAGUCUCUUCGGUUCUAGUUUGUAUUCUCUUUAGUUUUUUGUUUUCCUCCCACACUUCCCCUCCCAAGCUUCCUUUUGCAUGUUAGUGCCAAAAUAGAACAAGAAAAGGGAGAAAAGUGGCUCCAAACUGGCAUUUAAUUAUUUCAGAUUUUUUUUUUGUAAAUGCGUUUUAUAAGUUUUGGUGUGUGUUCCUUCUACUAAAAAGAUUUACUAAUCCUUCUGGAAUGAAAAUGAUUCAAAAAAUGUUGGUUCAAAGUUAUUCUGAGGAGUAAUUAGCAGCCUUGGCCAGCUCUUAGAAAUAUCUGUUUAGGCCAAAUUAUUCUGCAUAAAACUUUCUAAUGACUUACUGUUUCUGCAGUUCUGACCUUGGAUAGAUACUCUGUUCACCAGUGGUCUCUACAAUCAAACAGCCAUUAAUCUAGUGCAAACAUCAAUAUUUUGUACAAUAUUAUCUGCCCUCAAAGAAGUUUUAUGAUUCUGUGAUUUACAAAGGCCUAAACUUAGUUAAAAUCACCACAAGGUUGUUUAUGGCUCAAUUACAGAGUUAUUUCCCUGCAACAAUCAGGUGUUAUUCCCACAGAACUUCUUGGUUGUCCUUGGCCCUGCCUCAAAAGAGAACACACCCUCCAUGAGGCAGAGAUGCAAGAGUAAACAUUUGGCAGCGGUACGUUCCUUUUCGACCUGCUCUGUCUGUGCGCAGUCAAGGAUUUUAUUUUAUCAAAGGUAUUGUAUUCCUUCCAAUGAACCUGAACACUCUGCUGUCUCACUGACAUCAAUCUGACAGUUUCCUUGUGAAUGAUAUCAGUGUCAUUCCCACCUAGAGGAACUGUCCGUAAAAGUGAUCAGUGGCAUCAGUUUCCAAACAGACUGAGGACAAAGGCUUGUCUCACUUAUAAGGCAUUUUCCAACAUGACAGUUGCCAAAGUGCCUAUUUUCCACUGUCUAUUGUGCGCUUUGUUUUCAUUUUUUAAGUGAACUCCAGUCAAAGCAUUGAUAUGCAUGCAUACUGUAUAGAAAACUGCCUAUGAAAAGGAUCUUUUGCUUUGAGCCUCCCUGGGUUUCACAGAAGCUGAUCUCAGUUGCAUGUACAGAGGAAACCAGGCUGGGAUCAAAAAAUUUCAUCCUUACCCCAGAAAUUUCCACUUUUUAAAUGCUGAGGAUCAAGAUGGACAUUCUUCUUAUUUUUGUCGUUUUUUUUUUCUUUCCCAGGAGUGCACUGUAGUAUUCUGCAAAAGACAGGAAUUCAGAGCUUAGCUACAUUUGGGAAGCCAAAGCAUUACUUUAAUGGAAGAAGUGAUCAAAUUAGCUGAAGAAACCUAACUAUGACAGAUGCCAUCUCGACUGAGCAGUUUACAAUUUACUACCACAGAAGGAGCGCAGAGGAAGGUGAAUGCUGACAAAAGAGCAUUCUUUUCCAAGCUAACUGCUUUUGAGAUGAAUGUCAGCUCCUUACUUUAUAAUGAGACAUAUCUAUAAAUCCUUUAUGCGAGAGGUUAAUAGGAGCUGGCAGUCUCUUGACUCGUGCGGCUCAUUCAGUGCUACGAGGGAAGAACCAUGGUCGGCAUGUCGACAGAAAUGAGCCUAAGUGCCGGGAGUCAAAACUGGUAUCCCCCACAGUGAUUAGAUGGCACAUUUGAUAUAUGCUAGAGCAGGACAACUGACAGAUAGCUGUGUGGAGGUGGCGAGCCCUUAUAUAUAGUAACUACUUCAGCUCCUUAGUACUGAGCUAUCCCAAUAGCUGCAUAUGUUUUUUAAGAAGCCCUAAAAACCUACAGCCACUGUAAUGAAUUCAGGGGGUAGUUUAAUGGAAAUCUCAAGAAGGAAUGUAAUUAGAUGAAGUCAAUUAGGCUGCUUGGGGAUUUCUAGCUGCUGUUGUUGCUAUCUGGGAACCCUAAUAGGACGAUUAGGAUUAACUGAAAUCAGCCUGAUUGAUUAGGGCAUAUAAACCUACAUAUGCCAAAUUCCAGGGGGACGGUGUGCUUGAGCUUGAAUCCAUCUGGAGCUAUGAGUCAGGAGCAUGAGUUUACUUUGCUGGCCUUGGAGAAAGCGACAGAUCAAGACUGCAUACACACAACAAGCAAAGCCAGACACAAAAAGGCUGCCAGGGAAAGGACUGAUUUUAUCUGUUAUGGCGGUGUAUGUGAAGGCCAUCCAGUCUAUCCUGAGGAAUUGAGACUAACAUUAAGCAAAUCUUUUCCUUUUAAAAAAAAUGUAUGUAUAACAAAAUAAAUCUAUGUAUCUUUUGAACAGCUUUUUAGGCUCAAGUCCUUACUCAGUAUGGCUGUGAAAUUCCCAGGUAGUCAGAAUUACGUUAUUACUGCAGUUCUGUUAAUUUCAGAACUAAAUUUGCCAACGUCCAUUCAAAAGUGCAAGAAAAAACUGUCAGUGAGUAAAUCCUCAUGCUUCUGUGUCAUGGGUCGAGCACACAAAUGCUUAUUUGCAUACAUUUAAAAUCCAAUCUAUGCUGUGCAGGGAAACCCCACCUGCAACCUUCUUAGAGGACAGCUGAGUUAUCUUGGUUGUAUUUGUUGUAAAAAAAGAUCAUUAUGGCCACUAAAGAGUUUCAGGAAUAAAGGCUCGGGGACAGAGGGGAGUUGAGGGGGAAGAGGAGAGAAGAGGAGAGGGGACAGGCCAGAUCUCCGUUAUUCAAAAAAGCUGCUCUAAAGCAAGACAAAACAGUGCAGGCAGGAGCCUAAGGGAUCUGAUCCCAGUCAUUACCACUCAUGCGAGGGAGAGGAUAUGUCAAGGGUAGGGAACGUCUUGGGGGACCUGCAAUAUGGUAACUCACUUUCAGCUAAGUGGAGAACAACAGCUUUAGCUGUACAGUUUAAUAACAGGCUAGGCCACUUUGUGCACCGGCAGGGCUGUUAAUGCACAGUAGUCUGCCUUUCAUUGUUAGGAGAGGAACCCCGCAGCUCCCAUUUGACAGCCAGGAGUAAAAUUAUUUUGCCGCUAACAUUUCUCUUUGGCAUGAGGCAGUGGGGUUGCGCAUUGCACUCAUCCUGCCUGCAGCUCCCUGCACCUGCAGCUCCCUCCUCACAACACAGGAAGGUUCCCAUGGGCUUGGAAGCAAGGGAUUUUUGCUUUCCUCCUGUGGCUCUCAUGCUAUUCAGCUCUAUUUGGGUGGCAUACCCGCCUGUGUACCAUGGCUGCCAGCUGUGGAGUGCUGUGCAGCAUCCUGGAGUGCCUCCAAUGGUAUUUUGAACAAUUAGUAACCAGCCCGGCAUGAUCAUAUCCUAAUGAAUUACUGAACUGCUUUCUUCUGGUUGAAUACUGGGCUAAAUGCUGAAAGAAAGUGGACACCUGCAGAUUGUAUUGGCCAAGACCUGUCAGUGAGAAUUUGCCUGAGUUAGGACCACAGGACUUGCCUCAAACCUUCCCAAAUACGUCCCAUAUUGACCUUAAUAUUGUUAAUUUCUCAUACUGUUGCAGGAAGCAUGCUUCACACAAGCAUCCCACAGCAAUUCAAAGAAACAGAGGCCUCUAUCAUAACACCAAAUGCCACAAUCGCUGAAUGGCACUCUCCUUAGUUACCUGUUGACCCAUGAAAACAUUUCUCUUCUAUUAACGUGCCUUUAUUAGGAAAUGACAAGGAGAAGAGGAUUUUUCCCAGUACCCCCACCUUGCCCAUAUUAUUAAUAAUCCAGUUCACAUGUUCACAAAUCCAAUGUAAAUCUUCCAAGAGAAAAGUCAUUAGAAAAAAUAGAUUACUCAUAGAAAAAUGUCUAAAUUUAUCCAAUAUUUUUUGUAUCUCUUGCUCUAUUUUUUUCCACCUCUUUAUCAAUACCUUAAUUUGAAUGGUUAUAAAAAUGCUACUGGACACUCUUGAAUUAAUUUUAUUCAAAGUUCUUGCUUCACUGAAAACAUUUUACAUUUUCAGUAAAAACCUUAACAUAAAAUUUGGUGAAAAUUAUGAAAUCUCCUUUGAAUUCUUCUCAGUAGAACUAUUUUGCUAUCACCGCCAACAAGUGAGAAUUUUUUUUCCCUUUUCAUAAAUGUUUCAUAUAGGGGUCUGACUUGGCAAUAAGAGCGAUCAUACAGGUAAUUCUUUUUGUGAAACAGAUCACCUCUGACAGAAGAUACUAGUGUGUUUUGUCUCCUACAGCAAACCAGCUAUAACUGACUGGGACAUCUGCUAACAGAGAUCUUAUUUGUGCUCCCUUUUUGGUGUGCUAUAAUACCUUUCAUAAUCCCUUUUUUUUUUUUUUUUUUAAUUGUACCUGGUUUUCUGGAAGAUUUCCUCUGUACCAAAAAUGGUUUGACUCUUCAUUUUUCGUUCUAGUUUAGAAAACUAAAAUCACCAUAUUUCAUGUAGUUAAUGUAAUUUUUCUUCAUAAUGAAUCCCAGUAUAUGAAAAUCCUGGAUUAGGAAGAAAGACUGCAGCCAGCACUUGCUUCUGUCGCUAGACCAUUUCACAGCUUCUUUCAUAUGCUGUAAGUUUUCACAAGAUUCGAUAGAAAGUCUGUGAGACUUGGGGGGAAAAACACAGGAUUGUUUUUAACAUGGUGGCAUUUGACCAAACAGGAAAGAGGAGGAGGGGGAAUGUGAAAGUCAAAAGUGUAAUAGAGGCUGGAGAUUCUUGAACAGAUGUAGCAGGUGUAAACAUGUUUCCUUAUUUUGGUUCCUGGAUUUAACAUCCUCCUACAAGACUUCAGUGUGCUCAGAAAAAAGGUUAUAUGUGCAGAUGGUACACUGUUAAAAUGCCCAGAAGGUUCAAACUCAUCUAUGCUUGUGAAGACAGGGAGAAUUUCCCAUCAUCUGACUCACAGGUGUUUAGAGCACUUCGAGUCAGAGGCAGGUUCGGCAGUGCCGAAGCACGGCAGCGCUUUGCUUAAGCAAAUGCCUUUGGUUGUGUGCUGGAAAUGUGCAGGCUCUUUUUCUUGUGAUGUCCAAGUGGCUAAGAACAUUAGGAGAGCUCUCUGGAGCAAGGAGGUGGGGAGAGACUUUUUGGCAUGUGGUCCACACAGUCAUUACAAAUUGAGGCUCUGGGCUGUUGUUGUCCCUGGGCUGCUGCUCUCUCUUCCUGACACAUUGCGCUGCCUUGGGUCACUGCCUCGCUGCUUGCCUGCCCAUUGUAGUUUUGAUCAUACAUUCCCUUUUGGCACAGGAUGAUUAUUUUCUGCAUUCUGCUAGGUCCUCUUCCCGUUUGUCCCUAUUAGUCUGUGGCCAGCGCAGGAGUGAAAAGAAGCAGGUGUCUUAAACGCUUGGCUGACACGCUAGAAUGGGGACGCACCGGGGACAGCUCUGGCUGUGUGAGCAGCGCUCACAGCACGCUCUGACCGGCCGUGCUCAGCACUGACAAGCAGCGAGGAAGCCUCUGAAAGUCUUGCUUGUUAUUAAUAACAAACAUACCUGUCAGGUUGUGUGGAGGGAACGACGAUGAUACCACCACAGGGUGGGCAAAGAAUGGAGGCACUGCCUCUCCAGGUUCGCCCUCAACCCAGCACUGCCCCGCAGACCCUGUUCAGGCCACCCCACCUGUCUCCAUCACCGUGUCCAGCUGAGGCCACUCCACCUUCAUGUCAGCUGUCCCCAUGCCCGUGAUGGCUGGCUCCUCGUCUCCAGCCGUAAAUUGGUUGUGUCAGCUGAACAGCUGGCCUUGCGCACGACGGACAGCCUGCACCAGCAUUCCUCCAAAUGUGCUGCAGGGUCAAAAAGAGCCUGCCAGCACCUCCCUGAGGAGCAGCUGGCUCAGUCUGAAUCUAGGUGAGAUGCAAGCUGUGCUGAUGGCAAGAGGAGAAAUAGUUGCCCAGUACUUCCUCCUCCAGGACCCCUUUAAUUUCACCACGAUCUUAAGUAAAUAUCAAACCCAUCUGCCAGACGCAUACACUAGAAAGGGGUUGAACAGCAAGGUGGCAAACUUGUGGGUGAUAGAAUAUUAUUUUUGGUAGCAAAAACAUGGCACAUGACAAAAACAUCAUCUCAUGAUACUGAGUAAUUGGAUGAUAAAACAGAGGAAAGGCAACAUAGAUAUGAGUAGUGUAAUGCCAGUGGGCAAAGCAGACUCUACAUACAGAGCUGAGGGUGCUGGACUCACUGUUAGCUCUCAGAAAAGAAAUGCUUGAAGAGCUGUGAGAUAUAGACAUAUUUAUGAAAAUGCCAGAUCCAUUCUCAGCAGCAUUCAAAAAAAGUAAAUAAAAUUUUAGAAUUUAGUAUGGAAGAAACAAAGCUAAAAACACUGCUGCAUCCUGAUAUAAAUACAUCUGAUGUGCCUAUAUCCUGAAAAUGGUGUUGUUCAAGCCUACUAGCUCCAAAAUGGUAACACUAGGGCCAGAGGAAGGUCCAGGCUGUGACAUGGCUUCUGUACUGGGAUUUCAAAAUAGAUUAAGAAUACGUAUCUGAAAAAUCAAAAUGCGAGGGAGGACAUGAGAGAAAUCUGUAAAACCAUGAAUGGCACUGAGAAGGCAAAUAGGGAAUGAUUGUAAUUGACUCUCAUACCACAAGAACUAGAAGCAUCAGAUGAAAUUAUUAGGUGGCCUGUUCAAAACAAACAAAAUAAGGGCUCUUCUUUAAACCCUGCUUUGUUGAAGUGUGCCACUAAUUGUCACAGGAUGCUGCAAUGUCAAAAAUUGAUAUGAGUUCAAAAAGCAAUUACACAAAUUCAUGGAAGCAAAAAUCCAUCAAGGGCUAUUAAAUUUAAAGAUACCACAUCUGUCUCAGGGAAGUCCCUGAGCCACAGCUUGCUGGAGUUUGGGACAGCAUGCCAGGGAACUAUCAUUGUGUGCUUACCCCUCUCUUAUGCUGUUCCCCAGGCAUCAGCUGUUGUUUAUGUUUGAGACAGGCUAUUGGGCUGGAUGGACUUGUCUCAACCAGCAUGGCUGUUCUUAUGUUUGGAUGCCAGGAAAUUAAUUUUUCCACAUCCAGUCUGUUGGAAAUGAUGCCCUUUCUUUCAUACAAGGACUUGGGUAGGGUGAUUUGGGAAUUUGUUAAAUCUAGAUUAUUUUAAUCACCUGUAAUGGGGCUUGAAGACUGAGGCAACACAGACAUUGCUCUGAGCAGGACUGGUAGCCUAUCUCCAAAGCAUGAGAAAAAGCAGGGUGUACAGGUUUCACUGCUCUUAGACUCCCCUACAUGUUAAUUCCAGACCUAGUGCCCACUCUUCAAAGCCUGAGUAGCCAGGGCUUCACUAAGAACAAGAAAUUCAUCAAUCAGAAAUCUCUGAUAUGUUUGGUGGUCCACUUCUGUGGGACUAGAACAAACUGCAGAGGCUUCUGACGCAGCCUAAACCCUCACCAUCAGCCUGUGCCAGACAAUGGAAGUUUUCCUCCUUAUUUAUAAUGUAGAUACAUUCUAAGAUGAAACCUAGACUUUUUCUAGCUUUUCACCACCCCCCACCUCUUCCCUACGGUCAGCCACUCCAAGGUGCCGUCUAACACACCAAGUAGGGACUGCAGAUCCUUCUUUUCCGCGGCGGCACAGUCUCCUUUGCAGGGUGCUGGCCGAGGUGGGCCUGCAGCGGCGGUGGCGGCGCUGCCAGUGCACGGUACACACGCACCAGGAGAUCGGCCUUUCCCCUUUCCCGUCCAUUAUCCUCGGCAGCAGCGUGGCCGCAGAGCCCCGCUCCUGCAAUCCUGCACUUCUCAGGCGCGCAGAGCUCACGCAGAUCCGAUUUUGCCUGCAGGAGUAGGGUAUUGAUCAGCCUUCGGGGGGAAAAGUCGUGUUGGGAGGCGACGGGCCCCAUCUGGCUGGCAGCUACCGCUGUUCCAGAGCCUGCUGACUCUUCCGAGGGCAUGUCCAUGCAACGAUUACUGGUAAAUCCCAUUAAAAAACAUUAAUACGAAUAAUAAAAGCAACAACAACAAUAAUAAAGGAGUUGUUGUUUUUUUUUUUUUGUCAUUAUUACUACUCCUCCAGCUGCCGAAACAGGAAGGGCCGCGGCCCGGCCGGGCCAUCCCCAGCGCUACCGCCCCGCGCCGCCUCCAGGGGGAGCCCGGCGGCCGCGCCUCCGCCGCCUGACGGGCCUGGGGUGGCGGGGGCCGCGCCGAGGAGGGCGGACAGGAUCCCUCCCUUCCUUUAAAACAAAAACAACCCUCCCUCCCAGUCAAAAAUAAAUUAAAAAAAAAGGUCUUUCCUUUCCUUAAGGCCCGAGGAGAAAGCUCCGCUUCAGCUUCCUUGCCCCCAGCACCCACCCUCGCCCCAGGCACCCCUCACUGCCCGGAACGUGCCUCUUGCACCCAACGCGCCUUCGUUCCCAGCGAUUUCAAGUACGCGCCAGAGCGGUUCUCGCUCGGGGUGUUUUUGCGGGAAUCUCGACGUAUUGAGGAGGUGUUUGUUGACAGGGGGAGGAGGAGUGAGGCUGGGGAAUGGGCGGAACGCUUCUCCAGCUCUCUGAGGUGGUGUGGGUUAUCCUCCCCCGCACCUCAUCACCGAAAAGAGGUGCACCUAUGGAGAAGGUUGAGGAAAAGACAUAUGCCUAGCACAGAUUUCAGACUUCUGGACAUCAGGGUUCUCAGCUUCUGGGUUCCUGGUAGAAGAAGACCCCUGGAAACAGAAAAUUACUAGUGGACCCCAGCCUCAUGAGCUGCCUUGCCUUGUGCCACUGUAGUGGGCCUUGCUGGAAUGGGCAGAAAAGCUGGACUUAAGGACAGGAUUUAAGCUACUGGUGUUCUUGCUUUUACAACCUUUUCUGGAACAGACUAUCAAAUUCUUUAGGCUGAAUUAGACAGGGAGGAGUAGAAACAUCUUCUGCACCUCCUUUGAUUCUUGAUAUCUUCGCAGCAGCUGUCAGCUUUAGUUUGUUCAUCGAUCAUUCAGUUGAGCAAGAGCAAGAAGAUGAAGGACCAUUCACCCCUUGAUGCUGUUAACAAGCCUGUCAGGCUUUGACAACUUAAAUGAGAGACAUUUCAUAAAAUUAUGAGUGAAAUUUUAAAUGUCUCAUUGAGGCAUACCACAAAAUCCUUUGCUGUCAAAUGAGCACUUGCAGUAAGUUGAGUUUUUUCCCUGACUCAGCACUCUGAUCACGUCAGACCCAUAAGGUUUUUGGAAACAUCUCCUUUUUAUAGCGGGCAUGCUCAGAAACAUUAACACAGGCAUUAACACUCAAUUUACCUGCUAACAUUACUGUUGCACAUCAGUGCUGUCAUUUAUGUGCAUGCAGCAGAAGGGCAGGAUAGUUUAAUGAAGACUCUUUAAAAUAGACUAAGCUUCUCUGUUUCCCUAUCAAGUACCACUGCCUGAUUUAAACUGACAGUAUUUCACAACCAAUUCAAUGUGCUUUUUCUCUCCUGCUGUUGCCUGAAAGGUCCACAUGGUUUUAAGGUGAUGCUUUAGUCCCACAGCAAGAAAUAUGUGUGAUUUUACUGCAUCUAUGUCCUGACUGCACACAUAUUGCAAAGAGUAUCUAUUUGGCCCUUGGCCCAGACAAAAGCCCUGUGCAGUGACUGGGGCCAGCACAGCACUUAAGAAUAGCUGUAGUCCAGAUUUGUGUCACAAUAGCUGCACAAGCCCUAAAAUUCCAUUCUUGAGGAAUCUUCCAUUCUUGAGGAAGCCCAUCACCCAAAGCACAGGGCCAGAAGUUUGUCUGUCUGCCUUCCACUGGGACACACAUCUGGGCAGCCUCUAUGACAGCUUCCCAAAUUUUACUCUUCAAGGUACAGCAAAGCGGGGUCGUUUCAGCUAAGGAGUGCAUAAGCAGCCUUUGCUCAGUUGGCUGCAAACCCCAUUUGAACAGAAAAUUUUGUUUCACAAAGUCCAAUGUGUGUGGUGCUAGAAGAAUCUGUUAUUUUACAUGAAUAACAGUUAUUGUAAGCUUGCUUCAAACAGAAUAAGUAUCUGUUUUUGAGCCAGUAGCCAAAACCAGAAGCAACCACGCAAUUUAUAGCUAACUAGGUAAUCCAUCAGCACAUAGGCUCCAGCUUGGAAAAAUAUUUUGAGUACUAGCUUAACUUGAAAUGCAUGGAUAUAUACAUUGAUUUCAGUAGGGCAAACACGUAUGCCUAGACUUAUGUGUGACUGGAGCUAUAUAAGAUUGAAUGCAUCACUGAAAGAGUGUAAUUAGAAAAAAACCUAAAUUUUAGCUAAAUGAAUUUGUUCAGAGAUAAAUAUAAGACCAAAUCCACCCUGGCUCUGUUUCUUUUUUGGUGUAGUAUAACAUAAGUGAGAUCCUAUUACUCUGCAAUAUUCAUGGCAUACCUUCACAAAUAGGUGAUAACACAUUCCCAGCAUACUAUAAAAUUUAAAACUGAUCUUUUCCACUGCUGGGAUGUUCGGAUUUUUUUAGCCAGUUUUACUAACCAGAAUCUUCUAGAAACAAUAACACUGAUCCUGUGUGUUCAGACUAUAUAAGGAAGAGGAACUUACACAAUUGCCGAAUUUCUUUGUUUUUCUCUGCUGGUCUUCAUUGCCUGUAGUUUUUUCCAUGCUCAGGAGUGAAUAUACUUUCUGUCAGAAUUUCAGCAUAUUUUCCUGUCAUACAUUCUCCUGCUUUGAGCUCUUUUGUUCUAAUACUCUUGACAUUUAAGCUGGGCACUUUAAAGGUUCUUUCUCUUUACUUUAUUCUAUGAUUUAUUGAUUACUUCUAGCUUCUGUUUCCCUAAGCCUAUUUCCUUUCAAGUUUUCUCACCCUUCUGACUUGUUAUUUCAUCCCUUGAUACAAAUAAUGCUUCACAGUCCCAGUUUUAAAGCCACAACCGUGGCACAAUUUUUUUCUCCCUUUGGCUUGGCAUAGCAGCAUUUUUUUACACACGGAGGCCCAAAGACAUUGUAAAUGAUUACAGGGGUCAUUGUUACUGAUUAGUGUGUCAUGGCCACACAUUUACAAAGGGCCUGCUGAGCUGCACUGUCCUUUGCAAGUGGUUCCUGAAGAAGUCAUAGGCACUACUCACAGAUCAAGGGACUGCUCCGUGUGGGAAAGGGACACUCUGCAACAGGACAAAGGUCGGCAUUGUAUGGGGAGAAGCCCCCUUCCCAAAGGCUGGGCAGUGCUGGCUGUGUGAGUCUGACUGAAAACCAGAACAGAGGAGAUGCUGGAUGAGGAGGCUUGCCAGCAGUUAAGGAUUAUUGUGCCUGCAUAUUGUGGUGCACAUUCUGUGCUAAUUGCUACCUGGUGGGAGGUACGCAGUUGGUGACAGAGUGUGGCUGUGUGCGUGCUCCCAUCCGCAUUUCUGCAAGGCACAGUUUUGUUCUGGUGUUGCUCCUAUAAAAGGAGGCUUCCAUUCACCAGAAAGACCAAUUCUAGCCUAAGAAACACAGCAGGAGCUGUAUUAGGUGUGGGUCUCAGUGUGAGUCCUGGACUGAAGUUACCUAAUUUGGCUGCAUCCCCAAUUCCCUGCCAUGACGUUGGUAUAAUAUUUGUGUCCAUCUUGGCAUCUUCCAGUGACUCAAGCUUUACAAAUAGUUUUGGAAUCAUCAGAUGGGAGAGCCUAGAAUGAAGCAAGGCCUUACUACCUAUGCAAGGCUUUGAACAGCCUUCCUUCUCUGUCUCCUGCUCUGUUAGGGCAAAGGACUGGAAAGGACCCUUGUCGUUCUCACGUCUGUGUUCCCAUCUUGUCCUGAGUGAUGCACUGAGCCCUUUAAUUUCCCCUCAGUGCCCAAAGCAGUGCAAUGAUUUGCUGCUGUACAUAUGCAACAGGAAAGCACAGUAAUUCACCUGGAUCCAACCAGGAAUUUGUAUAUUAGGCAUUAGAAGUAGAUUGCCCAAGGUGACAGUCGGAUUCUGUGCAGUGGAGUGCUAUGUUUGGAGGGGCACUUUUGCUCACUUCCAACUCAGAUGCAAGGGGGUUGUGAAGCAGACUGUAACCAACACUCGCAUAUAAAGCAUACUCUAGUAAAUUAGCUAGUGAUUUUUCUGUCAGCCAGGAUUCUGUGCAAAUGAAGAGAUAUCAAAGAUGCAGAAAUUGAUUGAACUCAGCUGAACAUGUACCUCCUGCUUGGCUUCUAAAGUAAAUAACGACCUUUUACAAGAAAAAAAGAAGUGCAUUGUUUUUUACAUUUUACUGUUUCAAUAGAGAUGAAAAAUGGAAUUGCCAAUAAAAUUUUAUGAGAAAGGAAAUUCUUGUUAGAAAUUUUAUCUCAGAGUAUUGAUUUUGCUACUGUGAAGAAAAUUUCCCUCUAAAAGUUAAUAAACAAAACCAAACAAAGAUAUACUUUUAAUUGCUUUAAUUGAAAAUCAUCUAACAUAUGCUGUAUUGGUAAGAUAUUGUAAAAUAUCUUGUAAAAAUCAUAUUUUUAAUAAAGUAUGUAACUUGCUGGUUUUCCUACA